rnacentral:rRNA from 1 species
UACGUAGGGUGCGAGCGUUAAUCGGAAUUACUGGGCGUAAAGCGUGCGCAGGCGGUUUUGUAAGCCCGGUGUGAAAUCCCCGGGCUUAACCUGGGAACUGCGCUUGUGACUGCAAGACUCGAGUACGGCAGAGGGGGGUAGAAUUCCACGUGUAGCAGUGAAAUGCGUAGAGAUGUGGAGGAAUACCGAUGGCGAAGGCAGCCCCCUGGGUCGAUACUGACGCUCAUGCACGAAAGCGUGGGGAGCAAACAGG